UACAGAGGGUGCGAGCGUUGUUCGGAAUUACUGGGCGUAAAGCGCGCGCAGGCGGCCCUUUAAGUCUACCCGUGAAAUGCCGGAGCUCAACUCCGUGCACGCCGGGGGAUACUGGAGGGCUGGAGACGAGUAGAGGCAAGCGGAAUUCCGGGUGUAGCGGUGGAAUGCGUAGAGAUCCGGAAGAACACCGGAGGCGAAGGCGGCUUGCUGGGCUUGGUCUGACGCUGAGGUGCGAAAGCGUGGGGAGCAAACAGG
rnacentral:rRNA from 1 species